UACAGAGGUCUCAAGCGUUGUUCGGAUUCAUUGGGCGUAAAGGGUGCGUAGGCGGCGCGGUAAGUCGGGUGUGAAAUCUCGGAGCUUAACUCCGAAACUGCAUUCGAUACUGCCGUGCUUGAGGACUGGAGAGGAGACUGGAAUUUACGGUGUAGCGGUGAAAUGCGUAGAUAUCGUAAGGAAGACCAGUGGCGAAGGCGGGUCUCGUGGACAGUUCCUGACGCUGAGGCACGAAGGCCAGGGGGAGCAAACGGGG
rnacentral:rRNA from 1 species